rnacentral:rRNA from 1 species
AGUGAACGCUGGCGGUAGGCCUAACACAUGCAAGUCGAACGGCAGCACAGUAAGAGCUUGCUCUUACGGGUGGCGAGUGGCGGACGGGUGAGGAAUACAUCGGAAUCUACCUUUUCGUGGGGGAUAACGUAGGGAAACUUACGCUAAUACCGCAUACGACCUACGGGUGAAAGCAGGGGAUCUUCGGACCUUGCGCGACUGAAUGAGCCGAUGCCGGAUUAGCUAGUUGGCGGGGUAAAGGCCCACCAAGGCGACGAUCCGUAGCUGGUCUGAGAGGAUGAUCAGCCACACUGGAACUGAGACACGGUCCAGACUCCUACGGGAGGCAGCAGUGGGGAAUAUUGGACAAUGGGCGCAAGCCUGAUCCAGCCAUACCGCGUGGGUGAAGAAGGCCUUCGGGUUGUAAAGCCCUUUUGUUGGGAAAGAAAAGCAGCAGGUUAAUCCCCCGCUGUUCUGACGGUACCCAAAGAAUAAGCACCGGCUAACUUCGUG